GGGGGGGGGGGGGGGGGGGGCUGGGGGGGGGGGGGCGGGGGGAGGGACGGGGGGCGUGCGCCUCUGACGGUAGCGGCGGACGGGGGAGUAACACGUGGAUAACCUACCUAUAAGACUGGGAUAACUUCGGGAAACCGGAGCUAAUACCGGGUAACAUGUUGAACCGCAUGGUUCAACAGUGAAAGACGGUUUUGCUGUCCCUUAUAGAUGGAUCCGCGCCGCAUUAGCUAGUUGGGAAGGUAACGGCUUACCAAGGCAACGAUGCGUAGCCGACCUGAGAGGGUGCUCGGCCACACCGGAACUGAGACACGGUCCAGACUCCUACGGGAGGCAGCAGUAGGGAAUCUUCCGCAAUGGGCGAAAGCCUGACGGAGCAACGCCGCGUGAGUGAAGAAGGUCUUCGGAUCGUAAAACUCUGUUAUUAGGGAAGAACAAAUGUGUAAGUAACUAUGCACGUCUUGACGGUACCUAAUCAGAAAGCCACGGCUAACUACGUG
rnacentral:rRNA from 1 species